GAAAAGUUUACAUGGACCUGAUGAGAUGAUUUCUUAUCUGUCACUAGACUAAAAUAAUAAAAACAUUUGCAGCAUGAAAUCGCCAUUAUCACAAAAGAUGAACAAUAUUCGAACUAAAAAACAAUUACUCCGAAAUCACGAUUCACCGAUGCUUACAAAACAGGAAAUAUGUUAAAGGAAAUUCAUUGUCGACCACCCACAAGCUUGUACAAAUUCGACCACAAAGAAAAAGGGGGUAUACAUGAUCGACCAAUACCGUCGUCACUUGAACACCAAAGAUAGUCGACGGCUUGAACAGUGAUUGUGCAACGGUGGUGUAGGGCAGCGGGUUUGCAGGGCGGCGACGGAGGCGCCGAUGUCAUGGUGGACGGGAAGGGUACAAAAAUAGAGAAAUAUUUACACCCACCGUGUCACCAUAUUGCUGAAACAUAUAUACGAGAUCCACACACUUUGUCUCAAACAUAUACCUUUCUUUGCUUGAAACACCCUCACUUUCCGGCUAACCUGUAUCCGCCACUUGACAGACCACCGACAACACCAACCGCUGAUGAUGAUGAUGGUGGUGUGUAUUCGGGAUCUGGGGCCAUAAAACUAUAAAAGACGGGAUUGUACCACUUCGUCGGUCUGAGAAGUAACCGCUCGGGAAUGAUUUGCAAUGGGGCUGUGAUUUACAGGGAUACAUAUGCCUAUGUAUAUUUAGAUCUGGUAAUUUUUAUGGAUAUACUCUUGAUGAUGGAUGUUGAAGAUUAUAUAUAUAUAUAUAGGGAAUUUGGGAUA